CAAUAGCGUAUAUUUAAGUUGUUGCAGUUAAAAAGCUCGUAGUUGGAUUUCGGAUGGGACUUGCCGGUCCGUCGUUUCGAUGUGCACUGGCCAGUCCUAUCUUGUUGUCGGGGACUAGCUCCUGGGCUUCACUGUCCGGUACUAGGAGCUGACGAGGUUACUUUGAGUAAAUUAGAGUGUUCAAAGCAAGCCUACGCUCUGAAUACAUUAGCAUGGAAUAACACGAUAGGACUCUGGCUUAUCUUGUUGGUCUGUGAGACCAGAGUAAUGAUUAAGAGGGACAGUCGGGGGCAUUCGUAUUUCAUUGUCAGAGGUGAAAUUCUUGGAUUUAUGAAAGACGAACUUCUGCGAAAGCAUUUGUCAAGGAUGUUUUCAUUAA
rnacentral:rRNA from 1 species